CCUGUUAAUUAUGGCGUAUCUUAACAAAGAAAAAAUGUCUUCAUAUUGUUUAUAUAUUUUUAGAUUUCAGCCAUAAAAUUAUAACGCCUCGGUUCCAAAAUAAUAUUUUCAAAUCAUUGAAAAUAAAUCGUUAAGUACAAACACCAACACAAUCAAGAUAAAAGAGUGGGAGGAAAUAUUAUAAAUAUACCCUAUACAAGGUUUAACGAGUUGAAUAGCAGACGUGAGUUAAAUCAGCUGAAAAUUCAGUAGAAAGCCAUGA